AGAAAUCUAUCAUGUAUAUGAGCAAUUCUACGGUAUUUAAGGAGGUACCAUGAGGUACCAAAAUUUUAGUGUAAAUUUUGAUACCUCAUGGUACCUCACAGUAUCUAGUUAUCACGAGAUACCAAAUUUAUAAUAGAAAAAAUGGUACUUUAUGGUACACCCUCAAGAACCGUAAAAUUGCUCAAUGUAUAUAGUCUUCG
rnacentral:misc_RNA from 1 species